rnacentral:tRNA from 1 species
CAGUUGGUUAGAAUAUCGGCCUGUCACGCCGAGGGUCGCGGGUUCGAGUCCCGUCCGCUGCG